AAUGUGGGUCAGCCGAUCCUAAGGACCCGGCUAAGCGUAACACACUACGGAUGACGACUUUUCUGUGCUUGCGCAGUUGGUCCAUCCGGUUGCCGAAAGGAAGUGGGUUAACAUUCCCAC
rnacentral:rRNA from 1 species